CCUACGGGGUGCAGCAGUGGGGAAUAUUGGACAAUGGGCGAAAGCCUGAUCCAGCCAUGCCGCGUGUGUGAAGAAGGCCUUCGGGUUGUAAAGCACUUUCAGUGGGGAAGAAAGCCUUGGGGCUAAUACCCUCGAGGAAGGACAUCACCCACAGAAGAAGCACCGGCUAACUCCGUGCCAGCAGCCGCGGUAAUACGGAGGGUGCGAGCGUUAAUCGGAAUUACUGGGCGUAAAGCGCGCGUAGGCGGUCUGAUAAGCCGGUUGUGAAAGCCCCGGGCUCAACCUGGGAACGGCAUCCGGAACUGUCAGGCUAGAGUGCAGGAGAGGAAGGUAGAAUUCCCGGUGUAGCGGUGAAAUGCGUAGAGAUCGGGAGGAAUACCAGUGGCGAAGGCGGCCUUCUGGACUGACACUGACGCUGAGGUGCGAAAGCGUGGGUAGCAAACAGGAUUAGAUACCCUGGUAGC
rnacentral:rRNA from 1 species